rnacentral:tRNA from 1 species
GGAGAUGUGGCUCAGAGGUGGAGCACUUGCCUAGUAUGCAUGAGGCAUUGGGUUCAAUCCUCAGCACCA